rnacentral:misc_RNA from 1 species
AAGACUAUAGACCUGCGGAGUACCUGCGGAGGGAUCAUUAACAAAUCUGUGUGAUGUUGCGUUGCAAGACGUGACACCAUUUGCUCCAUGUGCAUGCUUUGUGCACAUUGUGACAUUUCUGCGAAUCAUCUGAUACACCGAUAAAGAAUCAUGAACAACUUUUAACAACGGAUCUCU